GCCUCAUUAGCUCAGCGGAUAGAGCGCUGCACUACGGAUGCAGAGGUCGGGGGUUCGAAUCCCUCAUGGGGUAC
rnacentral:tRNA from 1 species